CGGGAUGUGGCGCAGUUUGGUAGCGUGACUGCUUCGGGAGUAGUAGGCCGCAGGUUCGAAUCCUGUCAUCCCGACCA
rnacentral:tRNA from 1 species